GACGAACGCUGGCGGCGUGCUUAACACAUGCAAGUCGAACGGAAAGGCCCUGCUUUUGUGGGGUGCUCGAGUGGCGAACGGGUGAGUAACACGUGAGUAACCUGCCCUUGACUUUGGGAUAACUUCAGGAAACUGGGGCUAAUACCGGAUAGGAGCUCCUGCUGCAUGGUGGGGGUUGGAAAGUUUCGGCGGUUGGGGAUGGACUCGCGGCUUAUCAGCUUGUUGGUGGGGUAGUGGCUUACCAAGGCUUUGACGGGUAGCCGGCCUGAGAGGGUGACCGGCCACGCUGGGCCUGGGAUACGGCCCAGCCUCCUACGGGAGGCAGCAGUGGGGAAUAUUGCACUGUGGGCGGGGGCCUGAUGCAGCGCCGCCGCGUGCGGGAUGACGGCAUUCGGGUUGUAAACCGCUUUCGUCUGUGACGAAGCGUGAGUGACGGUACUGGGUAAAGAAGCACCGGCUAACUACGUG
rnacentral:rRNA from 1 species